rnacentral:rRNA from 1 species
AAGAGUUUGAUCAUGGCUCAGAUUGAACGCUGGCGGCAGGCCUAACACAUGCAAGUCGAGCGGUAGCACAGAGAGCUUGCUCUCGGGUGACGAGCGGCGGACGGGUGAGUAAUGUCUGGGAAACUGCCUGAUGGAGGGGGGAUAACUACUGGAAACGGUAGCUAAUACCGCAUAAUGUCGCAAGACCAAAGUGGGGGACCUUCGGGCCUCAUGCCAUCAGAUGUGCCCAGAUGGGAUUAGCUAGUAGGUGGGGUAACGGCUCACCUAGGCAACGAUCCCUAGCUGGUCUGAGAGGAUGACCAGCCACACUGGAACUGAGACACGGUCCAGACUCCUACGGGAGGCAGCAGUGGGGAAUAUUGCACAAUGGGCGCAAGCCUGAUGCAGCCAUGCCGCGUGUGUGAAGAAGG